GACAGAGGUGCCAAGCGUUAGGCGGAAUCACUGGGCUUAAAGCGUGUGUAGGCGGAUUCCUAAGUACCUUGUGAAAUCCCACGGCUCAACCGUGGAACUGCUCGGUAUACUGGGUAUCUUGAGCCACUUAGGGGCGACCGGAACAAAUGGUGGAGCGGUGAAAUGCGCAGAUAUCAUUUGGAACGCCAAUGGUGAAAACAGGUCGCUGGGAGUGUGCUGACGCUGAGAGGCGAAAGCCAGGGGAGCGAACGGG
rnacentral:rRNA from 1 species